ACACCGGCUUCCUUAGGCAAAACGAAUCGGACGGGAAAGUUGUCAAAAAGCUGCUCUUCCCAGGCUCCACCCCCUUGUUCCAGGAGUCUGACCUGGAGAAUCUCCUGCUUCCUUCUUCAUUAUGUGAAAGACAAACUCAGGAAAAUGUCCAGACACACGAGCGCUAACGUCUCUUUUCUCUUGAAGCAGUGUCACAUUGUGGGACGCAGACGAGGGGACGGACCUGGAGUCUCCGGGGGAGAAGUCACACACGUUGUACGAGGAGCUCUUCAACCAGGAAGGAAGUCCGAUCCACGGACACCAGAAACCUCCGUGAGGACUCGAGCCUGGAACCUUCUGGGUUUCCUCUUCCCAGCUCCUCAGGAGAUAACCACUGGAUGUUUGUGUGUGUGGUUUUGCGAUGUACAAACAUUUUCCCAUCAUUGUGUGAGAAUAAAGAAAAACAUUCCCUUUGUCUUC